GACGUAGGAUCCGAGCGUUGUCCGGAGUUACUGGGCGUAAAGCGCGCGCAGGCGGACCGAUACAUCGGCGGUGAAAGCCCCCCGCUCAACGGGGGAGGGUCCGUCGAGAUGGUCGGUCUGGAGGCAGGGAGAGGCCAGUGGAAUUCCGGGUGUAGUGGUGAAAUGCGUAGAGAUCCGGAGGAACACCAGCGGCGAAGGCGGCAUCCUGGACUGGUCCUGACACUCAUGAGCGAAAGCGUGGGGAGCGAUCCGG
rnacentral:rRNA from 1 species